ensembl:lincRNA
AAUGCACACACACAUGCGGCCGUACACAAUGCACAUGUGCACACACAACACAUGCACAGUCACAUACAUGCACAUAGUCACACACCAUGCACAGUCACACAAAUGCACAUGCACACACAUGCGGUCACACACAUGUGCAAUGUGCUCAACACACAUGCAGUCACAAUGCACACACACAUGCGGCCAUACACAAUGCACAUGUGCACACACAACACAUGCACAGUCACAUACAUGCACAUAGUCACACACAUGCACAGUCACACAAUGCACAUGCACACACAUGCGGUCACACACAUGUGCAAUGUGCUCAACACACAUGCAGUCACAAUGCACACACACAUGCGGCCGUACACAAUGCACAUGUGCACACACAUCACACAUGCACACAUGUGCACACACAACACAUGCACAGUCACAUACAUGCACAUAGUCACACACAUGCACAGUCACACACGCACAUACACACGUCAACACAUGCACAGUCACACAAUGCACAUGCACACACAUGCGGUCACACACAUGUGCAAUGUGCUCAACACACAUGCAGUCACAAUGCACACACACAUGCAGCCAUACACAAUGCACAUGUGCACACACAACACAUGCAGUCACAUACAUGCACAGUCACACACAUGCACAGUCACACAAUGCACAUGCACACACAUGCGGUCACACACAUGUGCAAUGUGCUCAACACACAUGCAGUCACAAUGCACACACACAUGCGGCCGUACACAAUGCACAUGUGCACACACAACACAUGCAUACUCACAGUUACAUACAUGCACAGUCACACACAUGCAGUCACACAUGCACGUGCACACAUGUGGUUAACACAUGCAGUCACACAAUGCAUAUGCAUACACACGCACACACAUGCAGUUACACGUGCACACACACGUGGCCACACACAUGCAGUCACACACAUGCAGUCACACGUGCACACACACGUGGCCACACACACGCUUAUAGUCGCACAGUCGCAUAUUCACAUGCACAUGCAUGCACACACACCUCACCUAGCCGAUUCCUCACAAGAGCCGAGGGGAGAGCAGGUGCCGCUGGGGAGUGCCAGUGCCCAGCCGGCCGAGCUGCUCCCCAUCUCCGUGUUGCAGUGCGAGGCCCUCGGGCCUCUGCUCUCUUGCUCUGCCUGGCAGGAGCCCCCAGCCCCAGCCCCCAGAACACACAGGGCCACACGGAACACGCCCCCACCCCGCCCCCUACCCCACGGACCACAGAGCUGCUGACGGAUGUAUUUGAUGGCUACUAUUUUGUAAUUCUUGUCCACUUGUAAUUGUUUUUACUCUUUCUAUAUACUUUUCAGACUGCCUUUCUUUGUAAUUUCUGGAGGUUUAUAAAUCGAUGACAAAGCUUUCCCCAUUGUGUCUUCGAGAACUCUCCUGUAAACUGUAAUGUUGUGCUAGGCUGAUUAAAAGGGCCCCCGUGUGGCUCGGUACUGUGUGGGUGUGUGCAUGUGUACAGUCAGUGUAAAGUAUUUUCUAUAAAUAAACUUGUUAUUUUA